UUCACGUAAGUCUCAGAGGACGCGUGGUACUAAGUUUUCGGCAUUUUUCAUUUUUUUAUUAUAAACUGAGGCAACUGAUUAUAUUUGGUUUGUUUUGUAGUCAUAAUUACAAAGUAAAUAUGAUGGAUUCAUCGGUAGGAGUUGCCUUUGGUAAGGCUUAUGGGUUUUUAUUCGUCUGUCUCAUCGUCGUGUUUAUCGCCGUUGGAUAUAUUUGUACAUAUUUGUGGAGAUUCAUUUUGUAUCCUGCCAUCAGAAGAUGUUUGUAUGGACGCAGUGCAUACACCACUAUUGGAGAAUAAGGACAAGUUUACGAACGAACAAACAACGACGAGUAAGCACAAAGCUUCGGAACCAGUUUUUAGAGUUGAUUGGCGAUAUUUAUAAACUUUAUUCUGUUAGUGAAAUUUUUCACGAAUUUCAAAAAUUUAUAAUUAUGCCACUGGGUCAUAUAACUAUGCAGUAGUAGCGCCUCGUUAUUUCCUUUAGGAAAAUUGUUAAAUAAAUGGACUUUACCAA